UCAGUCACAGACAGUCAGACAGACAUGACAUUACACGUCGUCAUCGGAGAUCGGAUCAUCGGAUACCAAAUUAACUGUUUUUAAACAAUUUUAGCUGAAGUUUUCAUGUACAUGGCCAACUAGGUGCUCGUGACAAUAGAAAUGAAAUGGCCUAAUCCAGUUAAUGCAAGCUCACAACCUAUGUCUUCUGAAGAAAAAUCAUUUCUGUUGCAGCUUAGUUAUUUUACCAAAAAUAUUUUUAAUUACUGUGUUUUUCAAAACAAUAUAUUCACUUUUCCCUUUCAAGUUGUAAAUCUUCAAGAUAUUGAUGCCUUUACCAGAUCGGCAGAUCCAAUUACUUUGUUGCUAUCUAUUUUGCGGACAACAGCAAGAAAAUGCUGCUACUCAAGAUUUUAUGGUGUUUACCACUUUGUUCUAAUUUAGGACAAGGUUAAUCCCUUUCCUGUUAUAGUUGUUUGGAAACUGACAAGAGAUUGCUGAAAUUGAAGACUGAUAAUUUUUGUAGACGUAGAUAAGUUUCAAGUGCAUAUCUGUGCUCCCUUCUUUUCUGAGUCCCUGUUUCCCUAUCUAACCACUAACCAACGCUCGCCGGUGGUCACUCACCCGCUGUGAUAACCAGGAGGAGGGGAGGGCUCUGGUCGAACGGGAACUUGGAAGGCGCAUGAUCUGAGGGUCAUGAGUCUAACCAGGAAGUCUAUUACGACUAUAUCUCCCUAGUAAAACUUGCCUCGUACUUCGAAGGUGAUGCAAAAAUCUUUGGACUUCAUAGACGAAAGUGAUUAGAAGUGUGAAUUAAAACAAAGUUAUACGCAGGUUGUACGCCACAAAAUGAGAUAAAAAAUGAUGUUUGUUGACUCAGUAAAAUAUGUAAUUUGAUUAACUAAAAUUGCCGUAAAGAUUAAAUAUCGAUUUUUGGCUAA